UACGAGGGGGGCGAGCGUUGUUCGGAAUUAUUGGGCGUAAAGGGUGCGUAGGCGGUUCCGCAAGUCCUGUGUGAAAUCUUCGGGCUCAACUCGAAGUCUGCACGGGAAACUGCGGGGCUUGAGUGUGGGAGAGGUGAGUGGAAUUCCCGGUGUAGCGGUGAAAUGCGUAGAUAUCGAGAGGAAUACCUGUGGCGAAGGCGGCCAACUGGACGAGUACUGACACUGAGACACGAAAGCGUGGGGAGCAAACAGG
rnacentral:rRNA from 1 species